GAUGAACGCUAGCGGCAGGCCUAACACAUGCAAGUCGAGGGGGAGGUUACUUUCGGGUAACUGAGACCGGCGUACGGGUGCGUAACGCGUAUACAAUCUGCCUUUCACUGGGGGAUAGCCCGAAGAAAUUUGGAUUAAUACCCCAUAGUAUAGUAAUACGGCAUCGUGAUGCUAUUAAAGCUUAGGUGGUGAAAGAUGAGUAUGCGUUCUAUUAGCUAGUUGGAGAGGUAACGGCUCCCCAAGGCGAUGAUAGAUAGGGGUUCUGAGAGGGAUGUCCCCCACACUGGUACUGAGAUACGGACCAGACUCCUACGGGAGGCAGCAGUGAGGAAUAUUUGACAAUGGUCGGAAGACUGAUCCAGCCAUGCCGCGUGCAGGAUGAAGGUCUUAUGGAUUGUAAACUGCUUUUGUAAGGGAAGAAUAAGGGCUACGCGUAGUUUGAGGACGGUACCUUACGAAUAAGCAUCGGCGAACUCCGU
rnacentral:rRNA from 1 species